rnacentral:rRNA from 1 species
UACGGAGGAUCCAAGCGUUAUCCGGAUUUAUUGGGUUUAAAGGGAGCGUAGGUUGACAUAUAAGUCAGCUGUGAAAGUUUACGGAUCAACCGUGAAAUUGCAGUUGAUACUGUAUGUCUUGAGUGUACAAGAGGUGGGCGGAAUUCGUGGUGUAGCGGUGAAAUGCUUAGAUAUCACGAAGAACUCCAAUUGCGAAGGCAGCUCACUGGGGUACAACUGACACUGAGGCUCGAAAGUGUGGGUAUCAAACAGGAUUAGAUACCCUGGUAGUCCACACAGUAAACGAUGAAUACUCGCUGUUUGCGAUAUACAGUAAGCGGCCAAGCGAAAGCAUUAAGUAUUCCACCUGGGGAGUACGUUCGCAAGAAUGAA